UGCUCAAAUGAUAAUGAGUAAGAGGUGAGGAGUAGGGGAAAGGGUAUUACAGGUUAAGACCAGUGCUUCUCAAAUUAUUAUGCACAUACACAUCACCCGGGAAUCUUGUUAAAAUGCAGAUUCUGAUUCAGUAGGUCUCAGGUGGGGCCUGAGAUUCUGCAUUUCAAAUGAGCUUCUAGAUCUUUGUUACUCAAAAUGUAGUUUGAGGACCAGCAGCAUUGGCAUUCAAGUUCAAGAAGCUCGAUAGAAGGGGUAAUGUUCUAGGGAGAAGCAGGAAGUUUAGUAUGGCAAGCAUAGCACAUGGGGUGCAGGGAUGGGGAGAGGUAAGGUCAAAAAGGGAGAGAAGGACCAGAGCCUACAGAUCCAAAUGUCUACAUGAGGCAGUGGGAGGUAUAGUGAAAAGCUAAUGCAACUGGACUCAGACAUACAUGAGUUCUAAUCUCACCUUGGACAAGUAAUAGCUGUAUGCUUUCCGUAUCCCUAGGCCUCAUGUUCCUUGUCUAUCAAAUGAGAAUAAGGAGAACACAAUGUCUUUUUUAUGAGAUUGUCAUGUGCAUGAGCUGAAUGUAAAUCUCCUACUACAAUGCCUGGCCUGUGGUAGGUACUCAAUAAAUGGUAGUGAGCAUUGUCACCAUUGCAUGUGAGGGACAAUGUGAUAGAGAAAACAUAAUCCCUGCCUAUAGGAAUUUCCAAAGUGGUCCGUUUCCAAAAUGAGCCUCCUGGCUAUGGCCCCUCCAUUUUUCCUGUUUCAGUUUCAUGACUGACGUGGGUAAAUAGUCAAUUGGUUGCACAGCUUGAGGCCCUGGGUGGGAUUACCACUUGCAGAGAAACCCAGGUCCCUAAAACCAUCAGCAGAAGGUCAUUACCUUCUCUGGAUUUGCUUUGGACUGAUUCACAUUUCUUUUAGUCACCUUUCCUCUUUUUUCUCUUCUUAC
rnacentral:lncRNA from 10 species